GACUGAGGAAGGCGGAAGAUCUCCACCUGCACAAAGGUGGAGGGACGGAGCUUCCUGAACAAUGCCCUGUUACGUCUCUGGUCUAAGAAGCUGGAGGGAGAAGCCGCCCCUACGAAGAGGGGGGAGCAGAGCAGUCGGACUGAAGUGUGAAUUUUGAGAUGUUUGUUAGACGUCCUGGUGCCCAGUCCAACAGGUGGGACAGGCAAGAAACCCAGCGCUUUUGAAACCAGGAGAUCUCGGAGAAGCAUGAAGACAGGAGGCUGCGGCCAGAGGGAAGGGAGGGGCCAGAAAGGUGCUGCACCCUGGAGCUGGGUGUGGGAGGGCUUCGGGGAGGAUGACCCUGUGCCAGCCUCUGGACAAGGUCAGGGUCACCAGGGACUGAACACCCCUCCUGGGACUGAACCAUGUGAAGGCCCUGCAUCCGGGAGGAGAGGCAGGGUCCUCCUGGGACUGAACCAUGUGAAGGCCCUGCAUCCGGGAGGAGAGGCAGGGUCCUCCUGGGACUGAACCAUGUGAAGGCCCUGCAUCCGGGAGGAGAGGCAGGGUCCUCCUGGGACUGAACCAUGUGAAGGCCCUGCAUCCGGGAGGAGAGGCAGGGUCCUCCUGGGACUGAACCAUGUGAAGGCCCUGCAUCCGGGAGGAGAGGCAGGGUCCUCCUGGGACUGAACCAUGUGAAGGCCCUGCAUCCGGGAGGAGAGGCAGGGUCCUCCUGGGACUGAACCAUGUGAAGGCCCUGCAUCCGGGAGGAGAGGCAGGGUCCUCCUGGGACUGAACCAUGUGAAGGCCCUGCAUCCGGGAGGAGAGGCAGGGUCCUCCUGGGACUGAACCAUGUGAAGGCCCUGCAUCCGGGAGGAGAGGCAGGGUCCUCCUGGGACUGAACCAUGUGAAGGCCCUGCAUCCGGGAGGAGAGGCAGGGUCCCCAGUGAGCCGCUUAUGGCUAAAGAGAGGGCAGGGAGGAGGGAGGGCAGAGACAGUGCUGCAGGGACGCUGUCGUGGAGGGAAAGGCUGAGCAGGGAGGAGCAAGGCAGGAGGAGGCCGAGUCAGGGGAGGGUUCGGGAAACCAGGCGGGGUCUAAGCAAAGGAUUUCAGGGAGUGCUCAACAACCCCUUUCGGUGAGGGCCCAAGAUCAGUGUUCAGGGCUUAUGGGCCACAAGGCCACAGUCUCAGCUCCUUCCUGCUCAGGGUCUGGCAGUUUUACUUUUUUUCUGUUUUAUAUUUUAAAACGUAAAAGCCAUUUUUAGCUCACAGGCCACUCAAAAACAGUCCGUGGGUCUCACUUGACAGAGGCUGUGUGGUUCAACCUGGGCAGGUGCUGGGUUCCGAGUCCCCUGGGAUGAAGCCAGGGGUAGAGGAGGGGGCAGAGGACGCAGGGCCAGGGCUGCCAGCGGUGCCCCCCGACAUCAGGAUGUGGGGCUGGGGAUGAGGCAGGCAGGUGCCCCAGACCACCCAGAAGCCCCCUACUCAGGUCCAGACUCCCCAUGGAGCAGCCACCCUGCAGUCCAAGGGGGAGGGCAUGGCUGAGGCCAGCGCGGACCACGUUCUCUAAAAUGCUGCUGUUUCUAUUCUGCAGCUCAAAUUCCCAUGGCCACUUCUCUGGCUCUGCCAUCAGAGGCCUCAGCCAGCACUGUCCCACAGUGCCACGCUCAGAAAGGGCCACUGUGGCGCUGGUAAAGCAUUUACGGAGUCACCCUGGAGCCCACCAACCCUGGAUGCACGGGCACGGGCUGUGCACAGCUGCCACGUUAGGAUUCACUGUCUCCUCCGCGAGUCCCACCGGCUGUGGGGCCAUUCCCAGGGACACCCCUGCAGGGACCUGGUCACAGGCCCGGGGGUGGGCUCACCUCCAGUUCAUCGCAGCCGCCUCAUUGAUGUAUUCAGCACAGUAGACUAAGAUGACUGAAAAAAGGUACAAGUCAUAUUAGAAUUUAGAUGGCCCGUUAUUACUCGUUAUAAAGUUAUACAUUCUUUACAGCAGAAUACUGAAUAGAAAUGUCACUUUAAUUUUAAACAUAACAUCAGGUAAACAUCCUAACAUUGUCAAGUCGUAGGACUCACCCAUUUAGCAGAAAGAAAAUCAAGGCCAACAGUGCUUCAGUUCUCCAAUGCUCUAUGGUCUCACUCAGAGCCCGUGCUCAGGUCAGCACCUGCAGAGCUACUGCAGGAGCCGCCCGAGGCCCCAGGCUUCACCCAGGCAUGGCUGGACCUCACACAUUUCCCCAGGGACAGCAGCCACAGUUCAGCCCCACAGAACACGGCAGCAGGAGCUGAGAGCCACGAGACCCAGAGCUGACAACCAAGGGCUUUUCACGCUCACACUUCCCGGGCUGACCUUGGGACACUGCCACUGAGAUGACCAUAGGAGGGGAGCGAACAGCUUUGGGGUGCUGGAGGCAAAGGCACGGGAGGGAGGGCAGCAGCUGGUGGGGGCAGGGCAAGGCCUCCAUGCUCCCAGGAGCACACAGACUUUAGGGACUGGCCCAGGGUCUUCAGCUAAUUCGUGGGUAAUGCUGGUACUCAAACCCAUGAGACAGUGACCCAUGGUACCAUAAAAUCAAAUAAAAUAUGAUUCGGCAAAUUAAGAAAAAUGUGAUGCUUCAACUUCCAAGGUAAAUCAAACUAAAAAUCCUUUCAUUCUUCUUGAUACACAUCAGAAAGCAGAUUAAACUAGGGGCUACGGUGAGCAGUCCCUCCACUUCCUCCCUUCAGGAAUGGACUCAAUAAAGCAGAGGAAAAGAAUGCACAGGGAAAGAACCAGAGGGGAGGGGAGGGAGGAGGAGGAGGAGGAGGGGGAGGAUGGGGGGGAAGGAGAGGAAGGAGGGGAAGGAGGAGGGCCAGGAGAAGCAGGACAGCCAGGCAGGUGAGAAGGGUAGGCUAACACAGGAGGUGGUGGGCAUGGGUGCGGGGAGGAAGGUGUGGAGGGCUGACGUUACAGGGGGAAGGUGGGGAGGGUGGUAGGCACGGGAGGAAGGCGGGCAGGGAGGGUGUCACCAGGUGCUCCUCCUCAGCUAUUCCUGAAAUGCACCCUGGAGCAGAGUCUGAAUCUUGAAUCUUGAUGGUGCUGGUUAUAAGCUGUAUAGCUGAGGGAGUUAGAGAACCUCUGCAUGUUUCAUUUAUAAAAAUGGGCAAAUAAAAUCCAACUCUUGGCUGGUUUGAGAAAUGAAUCACAGGAAAUGUAAUGGCAGGCAGCACAGUGUCUAGUAUUACCCCGGUGUGAAAGCAGUCAUCCUUCCCCUUAUCCUAGAAAACAUCAAACCCUUUGUGCAGUUCUCCAGCUGACAAAGCUAUUCAGAUCCAGGAGCUCAGCUGGUGAAGCCAUCACCUUUCUUUGAGAUGCCUGCCUCAGGGCCUCUGCGUGGGGCACUUGCUCCUGCCCUCUGCCAGCAUCUCACUGCCUGGCUCCUGCCUAUGCACCUUUUGCCCCUGGGUUCCCAGGGGACUGUGUGAUUUAAAUCAGGCCGCUCCUCCUGUUUCACUGUGUUUUUGGCUUUUCCAUUGCAACACUUGUCACUGUUGAUAACACAGGUCUGUGAUGAAUCACUGGUGCUGGUGUCCCCCAGGAAGCUGUGGGAGGCAAAGGAGCCCUGUCUGCCUGGUCCACUCCAGCACUCCUCAGGGCACCCUCAAUACAGAGCUUGCUCUGAGCGCCUCACUUGCAUAGGCCCCCACUGUGAUGCAAACCCUCAUCACUUCUCCAGUCUUUCUAAGAUCAUCUCUUCUUCAGAUUUCCCGCUUUGCACACAGCCAGCUAACUAAACUUAUCUGAAAUUAGUUAUUUUUAACUACCAAGCAAAAUCUUCAGUGUCUCCCCAAUGUUGAGAGUCAAGAGUAGCCUGAGCCAGGCCUCCAGGCCCUCCUCGCCUCUUCUACCCACACGUGUUCGUAACGCUCAGCAUCAGAAGUGCUUAGGUCCUGGAGGGCUUGCAGUUUCUCUGCCUCUGAUCCACACCUUCCAUCUAUCUCAGUCUCUGCAUGUCGGGCUGCUGCCCUCCCAGGGCCGUCACCUGCUCCCUCUCUUUUCUUAUUAACAUUUUACUCACUCUUCACACCCUGUGCCAUGAUUUCAGCUUUUCUGAAUAAUCUUUCUCAGUCAUCCUGUGCAACUCCCUAACUUCUCUAAGUUCUGUAGCCCUUAUCCUUGAAACCAAGUUGGGCAAUGCCUUAUUUUAUGCACAGAACUUUUCUUUCCCAGUUUGCAAUCUUCCUCCCAUUCAAAGCAGUGCAUGAGCACAGCUGCCACCAAGGACGCAUCUUGUGUAAAAGACAGCACUUCCGGAAACCCAACUCUCCUGUGUGCAGCUGGUGCUCAGCACCUCCCUGGUAGGCAACAGGAACUCAACAGAUUCCUCUCAACUCUAACAUCCAAAAAGUAGUUUUCUUUAUAGCUUCCAAGAGUGAAAAACGGGAGUGCCCUGGGAGCAGGCACAUGACAGAGGGUUGGGAGGUCUUGUAAAAAUAUGUAUAUAUUUCGAAGACACAGACAGAACAUACACAGUUUCAUUUCACACAGUGAUCUGAGUUGUGGAGUUUGUGUUGUUUUACUCACCUAGACACAGAAAGUGCCCGAUCUGUAGUCUGUAGCUUCGGGAGGACAAGCAGGUGAGGAGCACGCAGAGC
rnacentral:lncRNA from 10 species